UGUGAGCUCGAUGAGUAGGGCGGGACACGUGGUAUCCUGUCUGAAUAUGGGGGGACCAUCCUCCAAGGCUAAAUACUCCUGACUGACCGAUAGUGAACCAGUACCGUGAGGGAAAGGCGAAAAGAACCCCGGCGAGGGGAGUGAAAAAGAACCUGAAACCGUGUACGUACAAGCAGUGGGAGCCUCUUUUAUGGGGUGACUGCGUACCUUUUGUAUAAUGGGUCAGCGACUUAUAUUCUGUAGCAAGGUUAACCGAAUAGGGGAGCCGAAGGGAAACCGAGUCUUAACUGGGCGUUAAGUUGCAGGGUAUAGACCCGAAACCCGGUGAUCUAGCCAUGGGCAGGUUGAAGGUUGGGUAACACUAACUGGAGGACCGAACCGACUAAUGUUGAAAAAUUAGCGGAUGACUUGUGGCUGGGGGUGAAAGGCCAAUCAAACCGGGAGAUAGCUGGUUCUCCCCGAAAGCUAUUUAGGUAGCGCCUCGUGAAUUCAUCUCCGGGGGUAGAGCACUGUUUCGGCAAGGGGGUCAUCCCGACUUACCAACCCGAUGCAAACUGCGAAUACCGGAGAAUGUUAUCACGGGAGACACACGGCGGGUGCUAACGUCCGUCGUGAAGAGGGAAACAACCCAGACCGCCAGCUAAGGUCCCAAAGUCAUGGUUAAGUGGGAAACGAUGUGGGAAGGCCCAGACAGCCAGGAUGUUGGCUUAGAAGCAGCCAUCAUUUAAAGAAAGCGUAAUAGCUCACUGGUCGAGUCGGCCUGCGCGGAAGAUGUAACGGGGCUAAACCAUGCACCGAAGCUGCGGCAGCGACACUAUGUGUUGUUGGGUAGGGGAGCGUUCUGUAAGCCUGUGAAGGUGUACUGUGAGGUAUGCUGGAGGUAUCAGAAGUGCGAAUGCUGACAUAAGUAACGAUAAAGCGGGUGAAAAGCCCGCUCGCCGGAAGACCAAGGGUUCCUGUCCAACGUUAAUCGGGGCAGGGUGAGUCGACCCCUAAGGCGAGGCCGAAAGGCGUAGUCGAUGGGAAACAGGUUAAUAUUCCUGUACUUGGUGUUACUGCGAAGGGGGGACGGAGAAGGCUAUGUUGGCCGGGCGACGGUUGUCCCGGUUUAAGCGUGUAGGCUGGUUUUCCAGGCAAAUCCGGAAAAUCAAGGCUGAGGCGUGAUGACGAGGCACUACGGUGCUGAAGCAACAAAUGCCCUGCUUCCAGGAAAAGCCUCUAAGCAUCAGGUAACAUUAAAUCGUACCCCAAACCGACACAGGUGGUCAGGUAGAGAAUACCAAGGCGCUUGAGAGAACUCGGGUGAAGGAACUAGGCAAAAUGGUGCCGUAACUUCGGGAGAAGGCACGCUGAUAUGUAGGUGAAGUCCCUCGCGGAUGGAGCUGAAAUCAGUCGAAGAUACCAGCUGGCUGCAACUGUUUAUUAAAAACACAGCACUGUGCAAACACGAAAGUGGACGUAUACGGUGUGACGCCUGCCCGGUGCCGGAAGGUUAAUUGAUGGGGUCAGCGCAAGCGAAGCUCUUGAUCGAAGCCCCGGUAAACGGCGGCCGUAACUAUAACGGUCCUAAGGUAGCGAAAUUCCUUGUCGGGUAAGUUCCGACCUGCACGAAUGGCGUAAUGAUGGCCAGGCUGUCUCCACCCGAGACUCAGUGAAAUUGAACUCGCUGUGAAGAUGCAGUGUACCCGCGGCAAGACGGAAAGACCCCGUGAACCUUUACUAUAGCUUGACACUGAACAUUGAGCCUUGAUGUGUAGGAUAGGUGGGAGGCUUGGAAGUGUGGACGCCAGUCUGCAUGGAGCCGACCUUGAAAUACCACCCUUUAAUGUUUGAUGUUCUAACGU
rnacentral:rRNA from 1 species